rnacentral:rRNA from 1 species
UACAGAGGGGGGCAAGCGUUGUUCGGAAUUACUGGGCGUAAAGGGUGCGUAGGCGGGUUGGUAAGUCCGUGGUGAAAUCCCCAAGCUUAACUUGGGAACUGCCGUGGAUACUAUCAAUCUUGAAUAUCGUGGAGGUAAGCGGAAUAUGUCAUGUAGCGGUGAAAUGCUUAGAUAUGACAUAGAACACCAAUUGCGUAGGCAGCUUACUACACGAUCAUUGACGCUGAGGCACGAAAGCGUGGGGAGCAAACAGG